UUCUCGCUAUAACACGGCAAGUGGCGUGUAUGUUUACGCCCGCUGUAUACAGCGUAGACAUACACGCAGAUAGCUCAAAAUGCGUACAGAUAACACGCCACCUGGCUUAAGGAAGUCGGCGUGUAUGUUUAAGCGAAGUCAUGAUGUCAUGUUGAACAGUCUUAGGUUUUAUUUU